GCCGGUGUAGCUCAGGCAGUUAGAGCAUGGGACUCAUAAACCCAAGGUCGCAGGUGCAAGUCCUGCCGCCGGCACCA
rnacentral:tRNA from 1 species